rnacentral:rRNA from 1 species
GUCGAACGGCAGCACGGGCUUCGGCCUGGUGGCGAGUGGCGAACGGGUGAGUAAUACAUCGGAACGUACCCAGAAGUGGGGGAUAACGCAGCGAAAGUUGCGCUAAUACCGCAUACGUUCUACGGAAGAAAGUGGGGGAUCUUCGGACCUCAUGCUUUUGGAGCGGCCGAUGUCUGAUUAGCUAGUUGGUGGGGUAAAGGCUCACCAAGGCGACGAUCAGUAGCUGGUCUGAGAGGACGACCAGCCACACUGGAACUGAGACACGGUCCAGACUCCUACGGGAGGCAGCAGUGGGGAAUUUUGGACAAUGGGCGCAAGCCUGAUCCAGCAAUGCCGCGUGAGUGAAGAAGGCCUUCGGGUUGUAAAGCUCUUUUGUCAGGGAAGAAACGGUUCCGGCUAAUAUCCGGGGCUAAUGACGGUACCUGAAGAAUAAGCACCGGCUAACUACGUGCCAGCAGCCGCGGUAAUACGUAGGGUGCAAGCGUUAAUCGGAAUUACUGGGCGUAAAGCGUGCGCAGGCGGUUUUGUAAGUCUGUCGUGAAAGCCCCGGGCUCAACCUGGGAAUUGCGAUGGAGACUGCAAGGCUUGAAUCUGGCAGAGGGGGGUAGAAUUCCACGUGUAGCAGUGAAAUGCGUAGAGAUGUGGAGGAACACCGAUGGCGAAGGCAGCCCCCUGGGUCAAGAUUGACGCUCAUGCACGAAAGCGUGGGGAGCAAACAGGAUUAGAUACCCUGGUAGUCCACGCCCUAAACGAUGUCUACUAGUUGUCGGGUUUUAAUUAACUUGGUAACGCAGCUAACGCGUGAAGUAGACCGCCUGGGGAGUACGGUCGCAAGAUUAAAACUCAAAGGAAUUGACGGGGACCCGCACAGGCGGUGGAUGAUGUGGAUUAAUUCGAUGCAACGCGAAAAACCUUUACCUACCCUUGAA